rnacentral:tRNA from 1 species
GCGCCCGUAGCUCAGUCGGAAGAGCAGGAGAUUUCUAAUCUCCUGGUCGCAGGUUCGAGCCCUGCCGGGCGUGCCA